GACGAACGCUGGCGGCGUGCUUAACACAUGCAAGUCGAACGGGUCUGCCCUGUUUUUUGCGGGGUGGGUCAGUGGCGAACGGGUGAGUAACACGUGAGUAACCUGCCCCUCACUUCUGGAUAACCGCUUGAAAGGGUGGCUAAUACGGGGUGUUCUGGCUGUGCCGCAUGGUGUGGCUGGGAAAGAUUCACUUUUGUGGUGUUUUGGUGGGGGAUGGGCUCGCGGCCUAUCAGCUUGUUGGUGGGGUGAUGGCCUGCCAAGGCUUUGACGGGUAGCCGGCCUGAGAGGGUGGGCGGUCACACUGGGACUGAGAUACGGCCCAGACUCCUGCGGGAGGCAGCAGUGGGGGGUAUUGCACAAUGGGCGGAAGACUGAUGCAGCGACGUCGCGUGAGGGAUGGAGGCCUUCGGGUUGUGAACCUCUUUCGCCGGUGAAGAAGGUCCUGCUCUUUGUGGUGGGGUUGACGGUAGCCGGGUUAUGAAGCGCCGGCUAACUACGUG
rnacentral:rRNA from 1 species